UGAGCACUGAAGUAUUAUUUUUAAUGAUAGGUGUUGCUUUGUUAUAGGAAUUGGACAUGUUAUCACAAGACAAGCCUGUCUUUGAUUUAUAGGGGAGAGAUUUUGGUCUGAGUAUGAUGAAAAUUCAGAGGAAAAUGAAUCCUAAGGAAGAAUAAUUGAAGAGAUUCAAGGUUCAUUUGCAUUUAUAUUCAUCAUGCCUAUUGAUUGAAGAAAUGCACUUAUUUAUAGUGAAAUGACAAAUCAUAAGGGACAAAUUAUUCUCAUUGUCAUUCCCAGAGAUGACCACUAGAGAGAGCAAGUAGUCAAGCUAUUCCACAUCUUAUUGCUGACAGACUUCCAUCUGGAAUUAGCAUCCAGUAUCACAUGGGUGGGAAUCUCUUUAACAUCAACUGGUUGCAUUCCAUAUCCAAGAUAAUCAACACCUCCAUUACUGAUCUUCAAUACACUGAUGAUUGUGUUGUGUGUGCCCAUUCAAUUAAGGAGCUCCAGGUCACCCUUGAUUAUUUCUGCGAAGUGUAUGAAAUACUUACUGACGGUUGCUACUCUAAGGGGGGCAGAAGAAGAAAUUCAAGGACAUCUUGAAGGCGAUUCUAAAUAAAUGCAAUAUUAAUAUCAAUACCUGGGAGACUCAAGCACUAAAUUAUCCCCAGUGGUGCUGUGAUGUACGACAAGGUAUUGAUCAUUUCAAGCAAAUGUGCCUCACUAUGGAGGGGAAUAGAUGAGAGAGACAAAGGUAAAGAGCUGUUACCGAACAUCACAAGGAUCUACUCCUUUUUGGAGCUAUUUGCCGUGUCACCUACAGUUGAUGGUACAGAUCUUGGAUUGGUCUCUUCAGUCAUCUAUGGAUUCACCAAUGACUCCCCUCUUUACUGGAAGACUGUCAUCUUCAUAUUGAGGAACUGUUGAUGACCUUAGGAUAUAAAAGGGUUGGAGGGACUGCCUGAAGGCCUUUAGACCUGGAUGAAUUAUACCUCUUGUUUCCAUUAUGGGGAUAGUCUGUGUUCUAAAAUCCAAGAAUGAAAAGUCAUGGAACUCGUAGACACCCACCUACAGUAGGAAAAGUAAUAAUAUAUUUUUGAAAAGGUCAAAUCUCAUAGCUUGUAACCUUUCCUUGGUUGUAUAACAGUGCUUGUGGUUACCUAUUCAGCCACCAAUGCAGUCUUGCUUUUGGAAUUUAGUCACCUACUAAUACAAUUUAUUGCCUCAUAUACUUUUCUGCCAAGAACAUUAUCCCUUAAAUAGAGGCUUUGUAAUAAUAACCUCCAAUUUCCACAACUUCAUUGUUAAUUUCCACAACGUCUGCCUUACAUAUAUUAAGACUCAAUGACUCCCGAGUAUGUUUUGGUUUAAUGAUAGCAAAUUCAAUGUUUUCUCUUUGGAUUUCUUAGUCCAUGAGAAAACAUGCCCAGCUGUGCCUUUCUGUAUGAGGAGUUUUGAGGUACAUUGUCAGGAAAGAAACUAGUAUUUAUAGUUGAGUCAUAUAGAAAGCUAUACUGCAUCCAUGUUUAUUCUUGUGGCCAAAUCUUUUUCAUGAUAGUCAUUCCAAAGGAUUUUCAUUGGCAAUUUGAGAGCUGCCUGCCCAGCCCAAGGACUGGAGGCAGCUGUGCAGCCCCAACACCUCCAUUUACAUACCUAGGGAUGAGGUAGACCUCGUGCAGGCACACCUUUGGUCUUGUCCUGGUCUGGUUCCCAGCUCAGCCUUUCCUGAUAUUGAGGUUGAAUGACUGGGCUUGAAGGAGAUGUACAUCCCCUGUGCAGCCUACUCUGAUCUUGCCUGAGAUGUGUUCUGCUUGUUUGUGUAGCUUACAUGUCUCUUGCUAAGCUAGAGCCACAGAGAAUAUGACUGUUGCAGCCUCCAACUACAGAACCUAUCUUUGUGUUUCCUGGGUAGAGUCUCACACAAGAGGCUCCUGGUUCAGUGCCCAGUUAAAGCCAAGAUGGUGAUUGCUGUACAUGAAUAGUAGGACCACACUGGUUUUAGUGCCAGGUGGUGAAGUCAGAAACUGGAUUUGUCUUUCUGGACUAAAAUCAAGGAAGGGUAGUUUGGUUCGUAUUAGCUUUAACUUUGUGACUAUGUUGGUGGCAUGUCAUGAAAAGUAGCCUGAACUCCUCUCCCUGCAGUUGUUCAUUCUUACACCUAGUCAGUAGUCACAGGCAUACGGGGAAAAUGUCUGAGGGUCACUUUGAGUUACUUUGAUAGCUCAGCCCCUUAGGUUAGUGCUGUAGCAAUGUCAGUAUGCCCCAGUGCUUCAGUGACAGCAGUCUCUUGUCUGAUGUACGUUGGAUUUCUCUACACUGCAGAGUCUCUGACUACCAUUAGGCUGCUGUAGCUCUGUCAGCAGAGCCCUCUAGUACAUAGGUAGCAUAUGCUGACAGAAGGAGUUUUUCUGCCAACACAGUUAUACCAUCUCCCAAUUUAGCUAAGCCAACAAAAGCAGUCUUCUGUCAGCAAAUGCUGCCUACACCAGGGGUUUUGCUGGCACAGCUAUGUCAGCAGGCAGGGUUGGGUGGUUUCUUUUUCAUGCUCCUGGCUGACACAGUUCUAGUAGCAGAGCUCUGUAGUAAAGCCCUGGCCUCUGACAUGGACAUGUUUAAUCCAGGAGCUUCCUGUGGCAGGGCACAAAUGGAAUGCUUUGAGGAUCACAAAAGGCCUCCAUUGUCUUCCUACCUUGCCUAAGAUUUCAAAUGUUACUCUGUAAGUGUUCUGUACUGCCACCUCUUGACCUUAGCCUGUUGCCCAACUAAACAGGUUGGGAUCUAGGCAGUUUUUGCAUCCAUGGGAAAUCUAGGUGUCAGGGAUUCAGCAGGUGACAUUUUUUUCUCUGUGAAUCAACUCUUUGUUAAGAUGUAAAACUGGGACUUCAUCUUCUCAAGCAUCUUCCAGAGAGGGAGCAAUAACAUGGCUCCUAAAGAAAUCCCAACUUGGAGAAUCACUGCUUGAAAAAACAACAACAAAACCUUGUAUGUUGGUGGAGCAAGUCUACUGGUGCCCUCCCUCAGCUUCUGGGACUUUACCUUUCCACUACGAUAGCUACCAAGCUACAUCUUAGGCUUCUGGGCCUCUGUUUUUCUAACCCUUUCUGAUUCCACAUUGCUGGAGUUUCCUAGAAUGUUCUAUAUCCUCUGUGAGAGUCUGGUUGGGUGUUGAGUCCACAGCCCUCCCUCAUUGUUGUGCCUCUUACACACAGGCCAUAGCAUGCCAUAGCAUAGCUAAGCAAGAAGUUAAUUCUUUACUUGCUAAAAAAAAGCAAAUCCUUCUGGGCACCAUCACAUGUCCCUGUGCACUGAGUUCUCUGCUAGUACAAACUAGCACAAUCCCACUGAAAUGAAUAGAGCUAUGCCAUUUCAUACUAACAGAGAUUUUGAUUUAUAUUCUUCACUCUUUCUUGUUGUUUAGAAUUACUUUUGCUGCUCAGCUGGCGUGCUCUGCCAAGAACUGGCUGCAUCUCACUGGUGGGUUGAAAUUCUUGGAGAAUACAUUCUCCAGGCAUAGCAUUUUGUGCUCCUUCUGCAUGAUGGACACUCUACGGUAUUAGCCAUUGGUAUCUUACAGUGAUUGUAGUUCAUGUCAUCAAAUACAAUAAGGGAUGUGUAGUAAAAAAGUCCCCAAAACUUUCAAAUUAACCAUUUGUUUUUUCAGUACACCAAUAGAAAUCUGUUUUCUUUGCAGUUGGGCAAAUGUUUGACUGUUUUUCAAUGGGCAUUCAUGGGUCAAAUUUUACCCGCAUUUAUCUCUAUAAAAUCCAUGGACUUUGGUGAGGUUGCCGGGAUGUAAAUUAGGGCGGUUUGGCUCAUUUUCUCCAAUGGUACUAUAAGUUGUUUCUCUAAGUCAUGAGUUAUUAAUCUCCCUAAAAGUUAUUCCUGUUUCUACUGUGCAAAAGGAAAAAUAAAACAGAGCCAAGAUAUGUUGGAUCACAGCAAAAUUCAUUGGAAAUAAUUCUCUUUUAAAUAAGUUGCAUAUGUGUUUCCCUAUUUAGUAUUCACAGUGUACUGCACAGACACUUUCAGAAAUGAACUCAUUUUAAAAAGAGAUAGAUUUACACACACUACAAUGGAAGCAGUCACUGGCAGUAUUGUAUACCAUAUCAAAUCAGUGACUGUUGUUACAUAUUUGAAGUUAAUUUGACACUGAAGUAAACAAAUCAAAGUGUGUUUAUAGAAUAAUUAGACCAUAUUCUCAGUAUUGUGGCUAAGAAAUUUUGUCACAGCUAUUGCAGUACUGAUCCAUGGUUUCUUUGGUUUGUUUACAGAACUCCCUAGCAACACAAAAAUAAAACUGUCAGAAUUGCCUAAGUAGAAGUAUAAUGGUAAAAUCUUUCUUUGAUUGCACAGUUCCAAAAUAUAAUCAGAAGUAUUUCUUAGUCUCAUAUUUAAGGUUCUGAAAGUAUAAGCAGGCAUGUUUGUGAGUUAAAAAGGAGCCUGAAAUGUAACUGUUUAUUUUACUCAGCCUAAAAAUAAAAGCCGACAAUAAAAUUAAAUGCCUAAUUAUUUUGUCAAUAUCUUCUGUAUGAUUUCUUCAGUGAAGAAAGGCAAGGGGAAAAAUGAAAUAGUUUUAUAUAAAUAUUGAUUAAUGUGUAUGCAUGUUAAUACCUAGUAGUAAAUUUUCUGAUCCAGUGUUUCCCAGUCAUAGUGUUAAAUGUAUGUAUAUGCUACAACCAUAAAUGAACAG